AUUGAACGCUGGCGGCAGGCCUAACACAUGCAAGUCGAACGGAGCAGGGGACGGGUGAGUAAUGCCAAGGAAUAUGACUGGUAGUGGGGGAUAAGGUCAGGAAACGGGAGCUAAUACCGCAUACUCUCAGAUGAGGCUAGGUCUGCUUAGAUAGUUGGUGGGGUAAAGGCCUACCAAGGCGACGAUCCGUAACUGGUCUGAGAGGAUGAGCAGACACACUGGAACUGAGACACGGUCCAGACUCCUACGGGAGGCAGCAGUGGGGAAUAUUGGACAAUGGGCGAAAGCCUGAUCCAGCCAUGCCGCGUGUGUGAAGAAGGUCUUCGGAUUGUAAAGCACUUUAAGUUGGGAGGCGUUACCAACAGAAUAAGCACCGGCUAACUUCGUGCCAGCAGCCGCGGUAAUAC
rnacentral:rRNA from 1 species